CCUACGGGGUGCUGCAGUGAGGAAUAUUGGUCAAUGGACGAGAGUCUGAACCAGCCAAGUAGCGUGAAGGAUGACUGCCCUAUGGGUUGUAAACUUCUUUUAUAUGGGAAUAAAAUGUUCCACGUGUGGGAUUUUGUAUGUACCAUAUGAAUAAGGAUCGGCUAACUCCGUGCCAGCAGCCGCGGUAAUACGGAGGAUCCGAGCGUUAUCCGGAUUUAUUGGGUUUAAAGGGAGCGUAGGUGGAUUGUUAAGUCAGUUGUGAAAGUUUGCGGCUCAACCGUAAAAUUGCAGUUGAAACUGGCAGUCUUGAGUACAGUAGAGGUGGGCGGAAUUCGUGGUGUAGCGGUGAAAUGCUUAGAUAUCACGAAGAACUCCGAUUGAGAAGGCAGUUCACUGGACUGCAACUGACACUGAGGCUCGAAAGUGUGGGUAUCAAACAGGAUUAGAUACCCGGGUAGUC
rnacentral:rRNA from 1 species